rnacentral:rRNA from 1 species
AACGAACGCUGGCGGCGCGCUUAACACAUGCAAGUCGAACGAGAAGGCGUAGCAAUACGCUUGUAAAGUGGCGAAACGGGUGAGGAAUACAUGGGGUAACCCUACCCUCGGAGUCGGGGGAGUAACCCGCCGGAAAGGACGGGCUAAUACCGCGUACGCUUCCGAUCUUGCGGGAUCGGAAGGAAAGCUGUCCCCAAGGGGAUGGCGCUCAAGGAUGGGCUCAUGUCCGUAAUCAGCUUGUUGGUAGGUAACGGCCACCAAGGCAUCGACGGGUAGCUGGUC